GACGAACGCUGGCGGCGUGCCUAAUACAUGCAAGUAGAACGCUGAAGGAGGAGCUUGCUUCUCUGGAUGAGUUGCGAACGGGUGAGUAACGCGUAGGUAACCUGCCUGGUAGCGGGGGAUAGCUAUUGGAAACGAUAGCUAAUACCGCAUAAUAGCAGUUAUUGCAUGAUAACUGUUUGAAAGGUGCAAUUGCACCACUACCAGAUGGACCUGCGUUGUAUUAGCUAGUUGGUGGGGUAACGGCUCACCAAGGCGACGAUACAUAGCCGACCUGAGAGGGGGAUCGGCCACACUGGGACUGAGACACGGCCCAGACUCCUACGGGAGGCAGCAGUAGGGAAUCUUCGGCAAUGGACGGAAGUCUGACCGAGCAACGCCGCGUGAGUGAAGAAGGUUUUCGGAUCGCAAAGCUCGGUUGUAAGAGAAGAACGAGUGUGAGAGUGGAAAGUUCACACUGUGACGGUAUCUUACCAGAAAGGGACGGCUAACUACGUG
rnacentral:rRNA from 1 species